rnacentral:rRNA from 1 species
GACGAACGCUGGCGGCGUGCUUAACACAUGCAAGUCGAACGAAGUGGCGAACGGGUGAGUAACGCGUAAUCAACCUGCCCUUCAGAGGGGGACAACAGUUGGAAACGACUGCUAAUACCGCAUACUGAAGGAGGGGAUUGCGUCUGAUUAGCUAGUUGGAGGGGUAACGGCCCACCAAGGCGAUGAUCAGUAGACGGUGUGAGAGGAUGAACGGCUACCUUGGGACUGAGACACGGCCCCGACUCCUACGGGAGGCAGCAGGGGGGAAAUAUCCGCAAUGGAGGAAAGGCUGACGGCGCAAAGCCGCGUGAGUGAUGACGGCCUUCGGGUUGUAAAGGUCUGUUAAGCGGGAAGCGGUACCGGAAUAGAAAGCCACGGCUAACUACGUGCCAGCAGCCGCGGUAAUAC